rnacentral:rRNA from 1 species
UACGAAGGGGGCUAGCGUUGUUCGGAAUUACUGGGCGUAAAGCGCGCGCAGGCGGUCUUCCAAGUCAGUGGUGAAAGCCCGGGGCUCAACCCCGGAACGUCUUUCGAAACUGCUGAGCUCGAGUGCGGAAGAGGCAACUGGAAUUCCCAGUGUAGCGGUGAAAUGCGUAGAUAUUGGGAAGAACACCUGAGGCGAAGGCGGGUUGCUGGGCCGACACUGACGCUGAGGCGCGAAAGCCAGGGGAGCAAACGGG